rfam:Klebsiella pneumoniae IS46, WGS project CBWL01000000 data, contig: c381
AACACAUAGGAGCCUCCUCAACAGGAUUCUAUGGGCAGCUGAUGUGAAGGGGGCCAACCCUUCACAUCAGCGAUUCU